rnacentral:lncRNA from 1 species
ACUUGGCGACAUGGCGGGGAGCUGGGAAGACGGACACCGGCUGGGAAAGGGUUUCUUCUGUCCAUAAAAGCUACUCCAAUGGCUGUGGGAGACUUAAUUCCAAUUCCAGGUGAUACAGCCGUCAGUCUCCCACUAGCUGUAGGAUGGUGUGCUGCAGUUCACAGACCUAAGUCAAUGUUAGUCUACCACUGUACGUCUGGUAACCUCAAUCCCUGCAACCGGAGCAAAAUGUGAUUCCAGGUCUUGGCAACCUCUGAAAUUCCAACUCCAUUUGCGAGAGCUUUGAGGAGGCCAUAUGCUGAUUUCACCACAAGCAACUUCACAACCCAGUACUGGAAUGCCAUCAGCCAGCAGGCCCCUGCCAUUAUCUGUGACUUCUAUCUGUGGCUCAUUGGAAGGAAACCCAGCUACCGAAGGAAGAUACCCUCAUCAACCCAAUUUUACAAAUGGAGAAAUAGAAGCUCAGGGAAGAAUCUGAAGUAGUCUCAAAGGAAGUGACAGGAAGGAUGUGGAGAAAGCUGAGUGUCAAAGUCAGUAUUCAAGACCGGAUUUACU